AUACCAUGACGUGGGCAGUUCCUUAACAAUUCUUUAAAUAUUUCCCAUGCAUCAUAUAACAAUUCCCCUUCCGCCUGGUAGAAAUUAUUAAUUUUCCCUCUUAACUUU